GCUGCUGUAGCUCAGUGGUAGAGCACUCCCUUGGUAAGGGAGAGGUCGAGAGUUCAAUCCUCUCUAGCAGCA
rfam:Roseomonas sp. M3 M3_S294_L001_R1_001_(paired)_contig_374, whole genome shotgun sequence.